CCUGGGUUGGUUCCAUAAUUUAGCUAUUGGGAGUCAAGCUGAUAUAAACAUUGAUGUGGCUGUAUCCCAAUAGUAUGCUGAUUUUAAGUCCUUUGGGUAUAAACCAAAGAGUGGGAUAACUGGGUCAAAUGGUGGUUCCAUCUCGAGUCUUUUGAGGAAUCUCCACACUGCAUUCCAUAGUGGUUGCACCAAUUUGCAGCCCACCAGCAAUAUAUGAGUGUGCCUUUUCCCCACAUCCUCGCCAACACUUAUUGUUGCUUGCAUUCUUGAUAAUUGCCCUUCUGACUCAAGUGAAGAGUGGUGUGGAGAGGAGGUGGCCAGAGUGGGAACGUGACUUUUCAGUUUCCCUGUAGUCAGGUUCUUCUGGCACCUCGAGUCGGUUCCAGAGCCUCCUCCCCUGAGGCCCUCAGGAGUGGUGAUGCAGCACAGCCAACACCGGCCCUGGACAGGAGAGUCACGUGGCCCCACCACCUGAGGACUCAGGGCCAAGGGGUGGCAGCUUUCAGGAGCAGAUGAAGCAGGGCCGAGGCAGGCGGGCUCUGCAGUAACACAAGGCUGGGGGACCUCUGGCUCCAGGAGG
rnacentral:lncRNA from 1 species